UGAGUGUCUUCAAGCUUUCAUCUUAUUAAAGGAAGGAGAGUUGAUAAACUUUAAAGAGUCAAAAUUGACUUUAAGUUCACAUUACCACCUCCCAUCAUAUAGCAAAACAAUACAAAAAAACUUAACUUCUUUAAGCAAGUCAUGAAAUACAUCACAAUGGAAUCAGAACAAACAACUAGAACCUAUGAAAACUAUUUUGAUGCCUCAAAAGGAAAAGUAUCCACUGGACUCUCAUUAGAACAAUCUACUCAGUAGCUUCCACGUGUUUCGCGGCAUCAGCUUCUUUCAGCCUUUCCAAAGUAGAAAUGCGACCAUUAAGAGAUUCAUAGACAUCAUUCAUCUGGUGAGACAUGGCAUGAUGGGCAGUUUGGUAAUCCUUGUGGAGAAGGUAGAGACCGCCGGCCGAUGCCACAGCAGCACCGGCGAAGAAGGCUGCAAAUCUGACCCUUAAAACGUACCCCAUUUUUUCUGAAUCUGCUUUCACUGCCACUCUUUACGAUGUUGG
rnacentral:misc_RNA from 1 species